UACGGAGGGUGCGAGCGUUGUCCGGAAUCACUGGGCGUAAAGGGCGCGUAGGCGGCCUGAUAAGUAGGGGGUGAAAUCCUGCGGCUUAACCGCAGGGCUGCCUUCUAAACUGUCAGGCUCGAGCACAGUAGAGGCAGGUGGAAUUCCCGGUGUAGCGGUGAAAUGCGCAGAUAUCAGGAGGAACACCAAUGGCGAAGGCAGCUCGCUGGGACGGUAUUGACGCUGAGACGCGAAAGCGUGGGGAGCAAACAGA
rnacentral:rRNA from 1 species